UUUUUUAAAGAUAGCAGGUUGAAUGCACCGAUCCCCAGUAGAUCAUGCAAGUGAAGUAAAGUUGCGCGUGGUUGGUAUCCAGAUGGAUGACCAUCUGGAAGAUUGCGUACGAC
rfam:Asian citrus Psyllid, Diaphorina citri - Florida Strain, whole genome shotgun sequence.